rnacentral:rRNA from 1 species
UUGCCUCAGUAACGGCGAGUGAAGCGGCAACAGCUCAAAUUUUAAAGCUGGCGUCUUCGGCGCACGCGUUGUAAUUUGGAGAGGCAUCUUCGGUUCGGGCGCCAGCCUAUGUUCCUUGGAACAGGACGUCACAGAGGGUGAGAAUCCCGUGCCUGGCUGGCUGUCCCGACCCAUGUGAAGCGCCUUCGACGAGUCGAGUUGUUUGGGAAUGCAGCUCAAAAUGGGUGGUAAAUUUCAUCUAAAGCUAAAUAUUGGCGGGAGACCGAUAGCGCACAAGUAGAGUGAUCGAAAGAUGAAAAGCACUUUGAAAAUAGAGUUAAAAAGUACGUGAAAUUGUUGAAAGGGAAGCGCUUGAGACCAGACUCGGCUGGGGAUGAUCAGCGGCCCUUCUGGGCCGUGCACUUGUCCCCGGUCGGGCCAGCAUCGGUUGAGGCGGCGGGAUAAAGGCCCGGGGAAUGUGGCUCCUCUCGGGGAGUGUUAUAGCCCCGGGCGCAAUGCCGCCAGCCUCGACCGAGGGCCGCGCACUUUGUGCUAGGAUGCUGGCGUAAUGGUCUUCAGCGACCCGUCUUGAAACACGGACCAAGGAGUCUAACAUCUAUGCGAGUGUUUGGGUGUCAAACCCUUGCGCGGAAUGAAAGUGAACGGAGGUGGGAACCCCUCGCGGGGCGCACCAUCGACCGGUCCUGAUGUCUUCGGAUGGAUCUGAGUAGGAGCAUAGCUGUUGGGACCCGAAAGAUGGUGAACUAUGCCUGAAUAGGGUGAAGCCAGAGGAAACUCUGGUGGAGGCUCGCAGCGGUUCUGACGUGCAAAUCGAUCGUCAAAUUUGGGUAUAGGGGCGAAAGACUAAUCGAACCAUCUAGUAGCUGGUUCCUG